rnacentral:lncRNA from 1 species
GUGAGGAGUGUUAGAGUCUGUAAACAAGUCAAAAAUAACACCUGGCAUUUUGCCAGGGGAAUGUUAGAGUUCGUAAACAAGUCUGGAUGGUGCCUGGCAAAAUGCCAGAGGGAGUGGUUUGAGAAGUAACAAAAACAAGCCAUUAAGUGUGGAGAUUCCUUAUUGGUUGACUGAUGUAUCUAGUUUAUGCUAAUUAGAUAAGCUGUGUGGAAUGUAUAAAUACUGCUCCUGUCCUGCAAUAAACGGCUCCUACUCCUGCUGUAUCAAGUACACAAGUUAUUCGUCACCCCCCCGGCUAGUUUGCUGCAGCCAGACAGACUGCGGCAGAUGGUGGCCCGUUACGGGGAGCCCCGGGACACUUGGGGGUAAGUGACGAAAAAAGCUGCCCGUCCAUAGAUAGGACGGGAGCAAUCUGCUCGUCCCUAGACAGAUAGGGCGAGAGGAAAAAUGACCAUUUCGAGAAAAUGGAGAAGAUUGAUACAGUAUGUUUGUGUCUUGUUUUGUCUCAGUGUAUUGUAUUGUCUUUGUGAUGAAAAUAUGGAAGGGGUGAGAAGUAAAUUACUAAGGGAAGAAGGCACCCCAGUGGAACCAAGAAUAGUUAGGGCAUGUGUUGAUAAGAGCCCAGGAACUCUAGUCAGAAAGAAAAAGAAAGUUCAGAAGAAGAAGGAUUAUCAGGAAAAAAGUUGCAGCAAAAGGCUAUUACUAAAUACUUUUCGUUACCGGAGGGUGCGUGAAGCGGAGAGGCAGCUACCAAGUGUGCAAGCCGGUCACAGCGCAGCAAGGAUUUUCCAAGAGGCGGCAGUGACUGGCCCUUCCCCACCUCCUGGCCGGGGAGCUGGCUCUUCCACUGCCGCGAGCCCAAAUCUAGACCUGACCUGGAGGCACAGUCUCGCAGGCUCUUGCUCCCUGUGCCCAGUAGCAGUUUGAGUCCGGGACACUCCCCAGGGCCAUCUGGGGCUGCCCAGGCACUACAGCCAGCAGAAGACGCUACUGGUGUCCCUGAUGUUUGGUCAUUUUCAAUGCCAAUAACUAAGCUACAAUGGUUCUCCCACACCUGGAAGCUGAUGAGUAAUGAGCACUAUUAAUGCUUAUUUCAAAUGCAAAAAAACCUUGAGAUAAUGUACUAAAUUGUUCAGAAGGUUGUUUUCUUAGUAGAAUGCUACAGGAUUUUCUUUAGCCAUCCGGAGUUCCUGCCUUCGUCCCAGUGCCGGUAAAGACCAAGGUNCUGUAAAAACCACUAUGGUCGUUAUUUAAAUUAAACAAAAGGGGAAAAUGUUAGAGUCUGUAAACAAGUCAAAAAUAACACCUGGCAUUUUGCCAGGGGAAUGUUAGAGUUCGUAAACAAGUCUGGAUGGUGCCUGGCAAAAUGCCAGAGGGAGUGGUUUGAGAAGUAACAAAAACAAGCCAUUAAGUGUGGAGAUUCCUUAUUGGUUGACUGAUGUAUCUAGUUUAUGCUAAUUAGAUAAGCUGUGUGGAAUGUAUAAAUACUGCUCCUGUCCUGCAAUAAACGGCUCCUACUCCUGCUGUAUCAAGUACACAAGUUAUUCG